rnacentral:rRNA from 1 species
AUGCACGCGCACGGAAAGAAGAUCAGACGGUUGUCGAGCUCGGGAUCCUACGGCUACCGAGGUGGUGGGUGUUUUCUAAACAUCACCCGGACGACGCGUAGCAGGCCCCAUUUGGAAAACAAGAUCAGAAAAUCAGAAAUAGCAGAACUAGCACACCGUCCAUUGUGGUGGGCUGCGAAAGGCCCAGUUUCGCUGCGGUGCCGACGGGCCCAGACCUCAUGUUUUUUCGUUAUACCGGACAACGAAAUGAUCGGGAUAAGUCUCUUUCUGUUCUUCAUUUUUCUCACACAUUUCUUCCGAUUCCAGUCCAUUUAA